AACGAACGCUGGCGGCAUGCCUAACACAUGCAAGUCGAACGAGACCUUCGGGUCUAGUGGCGCACGGGUGCGUAACGCGUGGGAAUCUGCCCUCUGGUACGGAAUAACUCAGGGAAACUUGAGCUAAUACCGUAUAAUGACUUCGGUCCAAAGAUUAUCGCCUGAGGAUGAGCCCGCGUAGGAUUAGCUAGUUGGCGAGGUAAAAGCUCACCAAGGCGACGAUCCUUAGCUGGUCUGAGAGGAUGAUCAGCCACACUGGGACUGAGACACGGCCCAGACUCCUACGGGAGGGCAGCAGUGGGGAAUAUUGGACAAUGGGCGAAAGCCUGAUCCAGCAAUGCCGCGUGAGUGAUGAAGGCCUUAGGGUUGUAAAGCUCUUUUA
rnacentral:rRNA from 1 species